rnacentral:rRNA from 1 species
CACGUAGGGACCAAGCGUUGUCCGGAUUUAUUGGGCGUAAAGAGCUCGUAGGCGGUUCGGUAAGUCGGGUGUGAAAACUCUGGGCUCAACUCAGAGAGUCCACCCGAUACUGCCGUGACUUGAGUCCGGUAGGGGAGCACGGAAUUCCUGGUGUAGCGGUGAAAUGCGCAGAUAUCAGGAGGAACACCGGUGGCGAAGGCGGUGCUCUGGGCCGGUACUGACGCUGAGGAGCGAAAGCGUGGGGAGCAAACAGG